GUCUCUUCCUUACUGCCGAGUUUCUGAUUAUGUUAUCCACGCUGCGUAAAUCUUUUUUGUCGCGCAAAAACUGGGCCGCCAUGGGUGAAUCAAUAGCAAGCUCCGUGGUUAUGAGACAAUUAAAUCCACGAUGCACAUACAUUUAGAUCCACGUCCGAACCAGCUCAUUCCACGUCACACCAGCCGGUUGAAAACUCCGAUGUAAGCCUAUACACCAUAUACAUUAUACAGUCAUACACACAACUCUCGUCUUCUCCGACUCUUUGGCUGAUGUUCAAAUCGUAACUAUCCGACUGUCAGAAUAGUUGUUUUAAUUCGUGAAUGUUAUAAAUCCGAUAUAACUUGCAUAUCAAAUCCUAAAUUUAUAUCAGAAGUUUGAAAAUCAAGUUUCAAGUAGGUGAUACAGAGAAGUUUCGUAUAUUCAUAUGUAUCAGGGUCAUUAUGGAUGAACAUAUGAAUUCCGUGAUUGUUCCAGGGAUAUCACCAACAUGACGUUUCGGCCUGGUCAGGCUCCAUAUUUCCAUUUACAAGUAUAAAACAAAAAACGAGGUUGGCUGAAAAUAUAGCAGGUGCUGCAACUUUAUCAAGUAGUGAUGCGACCAAGUCCUCUUUCAAAUUAAGGUCACACUAUACAAGACGUCACGGAUACGAGGAAUAUAGUCACAAGAGUUUUGGAAGACGCAGCUGUAGAGGCUUCAAAAGUAGGCGGUAACACAGAUGAAGAGGCAGAGCCGUAAAAAACAACUGCACAGCCAACAACUGAAACAUAAGUCAAAACUUUCGGAAACUUGAACAUAAUGCCGAAAAUUGCUUGACAAUGAGAACUUCCAGGUUAUUGAAAAUACAUGUGUCAUUAGAUUAUAGUAAUAGAUAAUACAUGAAAAAUGUUGAAUACUAAGUGAUAUGGCAUUAAGUAAAUUGAGAAAUUAAAACU